rnacentral:rRNA from 1 species
ACAGCAGUAGCCGCGGUAAUACGGAGGGAGCUAGCGUUGUUCGGAAUUACUGGGCGUAAAGCGCACGUAGGCGGCUUUGUAAGUUAGAGGUGAAAGCCUGGAGCUCAACUCCAGAAUUGCCUUUAAGACUGCAUCGCUUGAAUCCAGGAGAGGUGAGUGGAAUUCCGAGUGUAGAGGUGAAAUUCGUAGAUAUUCGGAAGAACACCAGUGGCGAAGGCGGCUCACUGGACUGGUAUUGACGCUGAGGUGCGAAAGCGUGGGGAGCAAACAGGAUUAGAUACCCCUGUAGUCCCUGUCUCUUAUAC